rnacentral:rRNA from 1 species
AGUGAACGCUGGCGGUAGGCCUAACACAUGCAAGUCGAACGGCAGCACAGUAAGAGCUUGCUCUUACGGGUGGCGAGUGGCGGACGGGUGAGGAAUACAUCGGAAUCUACUUUUUCGUGGGGGAUAACGUAGGGAAACUAACGCUAAUACCGCAUACGACCUACGGGUGAAAGCAGGGGAUCUUCGGACCUUGCGCGAUUGAAUGAGCCGAUGUCGGAUUAGCUAGUUGGCGGGGUAAAGGCCCACCAAGGCGACGAUCCGUAGCUGGUCUGAGAGGAUGAUCAGCCACACUGGAACUGAGACACGGUCCAGACUCCUACGGGAGGCAGCAGUGGGGAAUAUUGGACAAUGGGCGCAAGCCUGAUCCAGCCAUACCGCGUGGGUGAAGAAGGCCUUCGGGUUGUAAAGCCCUUUUGUUGGGAAAGAAAAGCAGCAGGUUAAUACCCCGCUGUUCUGACGGUACCCAAAGAAUAAGCACCGGCUAACUUCG